GACGAGCGCUGGCGGCGUGCUUAACACAUGCAAGUCGAACGGAAAGGCCCUGCUUGCAGGGUACUCGAGUGGCGAACGGGUGAGUAACACGUGGGUGAUCUGCCCUGCACUUCGGGAUAAGCCUGGGAAACUGGGUCUAAUACCGGAUAUGACCUUCCAUGUAGUGUGGGGGGUGGAAAGAUUUAUCGGUGUGGGAUGAGCCCGCGGCCUAUCAGCUUGUUGGUGGGGUAAUGGCCUACCAAGGCGUCGACGGGUAGCCGGCCUGAGAGGGUGGACGGCCACAUUGGGACUGAGAUACGGCCCAGACUCCUACGGGAGGCAGCAGUGGGGAAUAUUGCACAAUGGGCGGAAGCCUGAUGCAGCGACGCCGCGUGGGGGAUGACGGCCUUCGGGUUGUAAACCUCUUUCGACAGGGACGAAGCUUCGGUGACGGUACCUGUAUAAGAAGCACCGGCUAACUACGUG
rnacentral:rRNA from 1 species